rnacentral:rRNA from 1 species
UUUCCGUAGGUGAACCUGCAGAAGGAUCAUUC